UGGCUGAGUGGUAAAGCGCUUGGAUUCCAAUCCAGGGUUCCCAGGUUCACAUCCUGG
rnacentral:tRNA from 1 species